rnacentral:rRNA from 1 species
AUUGAACGCUGGCGGCAUGCUUUACACAUGCAAGUCGAACGGCAGCGGGGGUGCUUGCACCUGCCGGCGAGUGGCGAACGGGUGAGUAAUGCAUCGGAACGUGCCCAGUCGUGGGGGAUAACUUGCCGAAAGGUAAGCUAAUACCGCAUACGUCCUGAGGGAGAAAGCGGGGGGAUCUUCGGACCUCGCGCGAUUGGAGCGGCCGAUGUCAGAUUAGCUGGUUGGUGGGGUAAAGGCCUACCAAGGCGACGAUCUGUAGCGGGUCUGAGAGGAUGAUCCGCCACACUGGGACUGAGACACGGCCCAGACUCCUACGGGAGGCAGCAGUGGGGAAUUUUGGACAAUGGGGGCAACCCUGAUCCAGCCAUGCCGCGUGAGUGAAGAAGGCCUCGGUUGU